rnacentral:tRNA from 1 species
GAGGGCAUACCUCAAUGGCAGAAUGUCUGCUUAGUAUGCACAAGGUCCUGGGUUCAAUUCCCAGUACCUCUG